rnacentral:rRNA from 1 species
GCCGCGGUAAUACGGAGGGUGCAAGCGUUAAUCGGAAUUACUGGGCGUAAAGCGUGCGUAGGCGGUUUAUUAAGUCAGAUGUGAAAGCCCCGGGCUUAACCUGGGAACUGCAUUUGAAACUGGUCAACUAGAGUAUGGUAGAGGAAAGUGGAAUUUCUGGUGUAGCGGUGAAAUGCGUAGAUAUCAGAAGGAACAUCAAUGGCGAAGGCAGCUUUCUGGACCAAUACUGACGCUGAGGUACGAAAGCGUGGGUAGCAAACAGGAUUAGAUACCCUGGUAGUCCACGCCGUAAACGAUGAUAACUAGCCGUUGGGGGGAUUUACCCCUUAGUGGCGAAGCUAACGCGUUAAGUUAUCCGCCUGGGGAGUACGGCCGCAAGGCUAAAACUCAAAGGAAUUGGCGGGGGAGCACGGUCAUA